rnacentral:rRNA from 1 species
UCCAGACUCCUACGGGAGGCAGCAGUGAGGAAUAUUGGUCAAUGGCCGGAAGGCUGAACCAGCCAAGUCGCGUGAGGGAAUAAGGCCCUAUGGGUCGUAAACCUCUUUUGUCAGGGAGCAAAGGCGUCCACGAGUGGACGAAAGGAGAGUACCUGAAGAAAAAGCAUCGGCUAACUCCGUGCCAGCAGCCGCGGUAAUACGGAGGAUGCGAGCGUUAUCCGGAUUUAUUGGGUUUAAAGGGUGCGUAGGCGGAUUGUUAAGUCAGCGGUAAAAUGUCCGGGCUCAACCCGGGCCGGCCGUUGAAACUGGGGAUCUUGAGUGGGCGAGAAGUAUGCGGAAUGCGUGGUGUAGCGGUGAAAUGCAUAGAUAUCACGCAGAACUCCGAUUGCGAAGGCAGCAUACCGGCGCCCGACUGACGCUGAGGCACGAAGGCGUGGGGAUCGAACAAGAUUAGAUACCCCCGUAG